UACGUAGGGUGCGAGCGUUAAUCGGAAUUACUGGGCGUAAAGCGUGCGCAGGCGGUUCGUUAAGACAGAUGUGAAAUCCCCGGGCUUAACCUGGGAACUGCAUUUGUGACUGGCAAGCUAGAGUAUGGCAGAGGGGGGUAGAAUUCCACGUGUAGCAGUGAAAUGCGUAGAGAUGUGGAGGAAUACCGAUGGCGAAGGCAGCCCCCUGGGCCAAUACUGACGCUCAUGCACGAAAGCGUGGGAGCAACAGG
rnacentral:rRNA from 1 species